rnacentral:pre_miRNA from 1 species
GUGCAUUGUAGUUGCAUUGCAUAUGUAUCAUUCGGUGCAGUGCAUCUAGAGUGCAUUU